CAUGUCUUUUUGAUUAUAAUUUAAAGUUUAAUCUGCUCAAUGAUUAUUUAAAUUGCCGCAGUAUUUUAACUGUGCGAAGGUAGCAUAAUAAUUAGCUUUUUUAUUGAAAGCUGGAAUGAAUGAUUGGACGAAAAACAUUCUGUCUCUAUUUGAUUUUUAAAUGAACUUAAUUUUUAAGUUAAAAAGCUUAAAUUUUAAUUAAAGACGAGAAGACCCUAUAGAGUUUUAUUAUUAAAUUGAUUUGGUUUUUUUGGAAUUUAAAUUUGAAUUGUUUUUAAUAAUUUAGUUGGGGUGACUUAAAGAUUUAAUUAACUCUUUUAAUUUAUAAUCAUUGAUUUAUGAAUAUUUAAUCUUAUGUAUAAAAUUUAAAUUAAUUACCUUAGGGAUAACAGCGUAAUUUUCUUUAGAGUUCUUAUCGAAAAUGAAAGUUUGCGACCUCGAUGUUGGAUUAAAAUUUAUUAAAGGUGUAGAAGCUUUAUAAUUAAGUCUGUUCGACUUUUAAAAUUUUACAUGAUCUGAGU
rnacentral:rRNA from 1 species